UCGGGAAUUUUGGGCAAUGGGCGAAAGCCUGACCCAGCAACGCCGCGUGAGGGAUGAAGUAUUUCGGUAUGUAAACCUCGAAAGAAUGGGAAGAAUAAAUGACGGUACCAUUUAUAAGCUCCGGCUAACUACGUGCCAGCAGCCGCGGUAAUACGUAGGGAGCAAGCGUUGUUCGGAUUUACUGGGCGUAAAGGGCGCGUAGGCGGCGCGGUAAGUCACUUGUGAAAUCUCUGAGCUUAACUCAGAACGGCCAAGUGAUACUGCUGUGCUAGAUUGCGGAAGAGNCAACCGGAAUUCUUGGUGUAGCGGUGAAAUGCGUAGAUAUCAAGAGGAACACCUGAGGCGAAGGCGGGUUGCUGGGCCGACACUGACGCUGAUGCGCGAAAGCCAGGGGAGCAAACG
rnacentral:rRNA from 1 species